rnacentral:tRNA from 1 species
AACCUGGAGAUAUUAAGUUGCAAACUUAAGAUAGCGUUAGCCUAGGUUAUU